UAACGCGUGGGAAUCUGCCCCUUGCUUCGGAAUAACAGUUAGAAAUGACUGCUAAUACCGGAUGAUGACUUCGGUCCAAAGAUUUAUCGGCAAGGGAUGAGCCCGCGUAGGAUUAGGUAGUUGGUGGGGUAAAGGCCUACCAAGCCGACGAUCCUUAGCUGGUCUGAGAGGAUGAUCAGCCACACUGGGACUGAGACACGGCCCAGACUCCUACGGGAGGCAGCAGUGGGGAAUAUUGGACAAUGGGCGAAAGCCUGAUCCAGCAAUGCCGCGUGAGUGAUGAAGGCCUUAGGGUUGU
rnacentral:rRNA from 1 species